rnacentral:rRNA from 1 species
GACGAACGCUGGCGGCGUGCCUAAUACAUGCAAGUCGAACGCUGAGGGAGGAGCUUGCUUCUCUGGAUGAGUUGCGAACGGGUGAGUAACGCGUGGGUAACCUGCCUGGUAGCGGGGGAUAACUAUUGGAAACGAUAGCUAAUACCGCAUAGUAGCAGUUGCUGCAUGACAAGUGUUUGAAAGGUGCAGUGGCACCACUACCAGAUGGACCUGCGUUGGAUUAGCUAGUUGGUGGGGUAACGGCUCUCCAAGGCGGCGAUACAUAGUCGACCGGUGAGGAGGAGCGGCCGCACUGGGAGUGAGACACGGCCCAGAGGGACAGGGGUGGGGGCAGGAGGGAAUCUGGGGCAAUGGACGGAAGUCUGACCGAGAAAGGCCGCAGGAGGGAAGAAGAUCUCCGGGUCGGAAAGCUCUGUUGUCAGGGAAGAAAGCGUGUGAGCGUGGAAAGUACACUCUGUGACGGUAUCGGACCAGGAAGCAACGGCUAACUACGUG